rnacentral:misc_RNA from 1 species
GAUGAAGAACGUAGCGAAAUGCGAUACUUGGUGUGAAUUGCAGAAUCCCGUGAACCAUCGAGUCUUUGAACGCAAGUUGCGUCCGAAGCCAUUAGGCCGAGGGCACGCCUGCCUGGGCGUCACACGUCGUUGCCCCCCCAUCUACUCCUUCGGGAUUGCGGGGGGCGGAUGAUGGCCUCCCGUGCGCCUCGUCGCGCGGUUGGCAUAAAUGCCAAGUCCUCGGCGACGCACGCCACGACAAUCGGUGGUUGCGAAACCUCGGUUGCCCGUCGUGUGCGGUCGUCGCGCAUCGAGGGCUCGAAAAAAUUGUCGGGCUCCGGCUCGGCUUUCAACGCGACCCCAGGUCAGGCGGGGUUACCCGCUGAAUUUAAGCAUAUCAAUAAGCGGAGGA